rnacentral:rRNA from 1 species
UACGUAGGUGGCAAGCGUUGUCCGGAUUUAUUGGGUUUAAAGGGUGCGUAGGCGGCUUAUUAAGUCAGUGGUGAAAAUACUCUAGCUCAACUAGAGGGGUGCCAUUGAUACUGAUGAGCUUGAGUACAGAUGAGGUAGGCGGAAUUGACGGUGUAGCGGUGAAAUGCUUAGAUAUCGUCAAGAACACCUAUAGCGAAGGCAGCUUACUAGGCUGUAACUGACGCUGAGGCACGAAAAGUGUGGGGAGUCAAAACAGGG